rnacentral:rRNA from 1 species
UACAGAGGUGGCAAGCGUUGUUCGGAAUUACUGGGCGUAAAGGGCGCGUAGGCGGCCUACUAAGUCAGACGUGAAAUCCCCCGGCUUAACCUGGGAACUGCGUCUGAUACUGGAAGGCUUGAGGAUGGGAGAGGGAAGCGGAAUUCCGGGUGUAGCGGUGAAAUGCGUAGAUAUCCGGAGGAACACCGGUGGCGAAGGCGGCUUCCUGGACCGACACUGACGCUGAGGCGCGAAAGCUAGGGGAGCAAACGGG